AGUGGGAUAGUUGGAUCAAAUGGUGGUUCCAUUCCAAGUUUUCUGAGGAAUCUCCACACUGCUUUCCAAAGUGGGUUGCACCAAUUUGCAGUCCCAGCAGCAGU
rnacentral:pre_miRNA from 1 species